GCCCUCAGAACCCUCCGAGCGGGGCCGCGGGGCUGCGGCAGCGGGAGCAGCGAUCCGGGCUCCUAAAGCCGCGCUCCCGUGAGCCGCUGUCCGGGUGUGACCCCGCGCCUACAGACACCUGCCCAACGCCACCGAACCACAGCUCCAAACGGCGGCACCAGUCUCCGCUUCCUUCCCUGUUUGUGGAAAGAUAUUUGAAGAUUUAUUUGACAAACUCCUCUAGACAGUGAGAUCCAGUACCUAAUGUACCUACUGUGUCUUCAGCUGGCACAAGCUUGAACAAAAACCCUGGAAUGUUCACUUACGUGUAAACCAAAGCCAGGACUGCAUCCUUAGAAGGAGGAAGGUGAGAUCCAGCAAGGAGAACUGCAAGAGCAGAGCGCACAUGGACAAGCGGGCUGGCCCAGGUAUGAAGCAACAGAGAUUGGAAUCCACAUACUUCAUGAAAGUCAUAUUUAAGAGAGAGAGUCUCGUUUCUACAGCAGCGAGGAUGUCUGCAUGGCGAGCUAAUGAAUGGUUUCUCCUUUCUGACUCCCGUCUGGAAAACAGACCACAAGGUGACACUGAUUUAACAAGGAGUCAAAAAAUCAAACCAUAACAUUUGUCAAGUUAAUUUCACCCUUAAAACCCUGCAACCACUAACAUUUGUCUUCAUGGAAAUAAAAGA